GGCCCCGUUCCGGCCGCCCUACACAUGCAAGUCGAGCGGAUGAGGGAGCUUGCUCCUGGAUUCAGCGGGGAAGGGUGAGUAAUGCCUAGGAAUCUGCCUGGUAGUGGGGGAUAACGUUUCGAAAGGAACGCUAAUACCGCAUACGUCCUACGGGAGAAAGCAGGGGACCUUCGGGCCUUGCGCUAUCAGAUGAGCCUAGGUCGGAUUAGCUAGUUGGUGAGGUAAUGGCUCACCAAGGCGACGAUCCGUAACUGGUCUGAGAGGAUGAUCAGUCACACUGGAACUGAGACACGGUCCAGACUCCUACGGGAGGCAGCAGUGGGGAAUAUUGGACAAUGGGCGAAAGCCUGAUCCAGCCAUGCCGCGUGUGUGAAGAAGGUCUUCGGAUUGUAAAGCACUUUAAGUUGGGAGGAAGGGUUGUAGAUUAAUACUCUGCAAUUUUGACGUUACCGACAGAAUAAGCACCGGCUAACUCUGUGCCAGCAGCCGCGGUAAUACAGAGGGUGCAAGCGUUAAUCGGAAUUACUGGGCGUAAAGCGCGCGUAGGUGGUUCGUUAAGUUGGAUGUGAAAUCCCCGGGCUCAACCUGGGAACUGCAUCCAAAACUGGCGAGCUAGAGUAUGGUAGAGGGUGGUGGAAUUUCCUGUGUAGCGGUGAAAUGCGUAGAUAUAGGAAGGAACACCAGUGGCGAAGGCGACCACCUGGACUGAUACUGACACUGAGGUGCGAAAGCGUGGGGAGCAAACAGGAUUAGAUACCCUGGUAGUCCACGCCGUAACGAUGUCAACUAGCCGUUGGGAGCCUUGAGCUCUUAGUGGCGCAGCUAACGCAUUAAGUUGACCGCCUGGGGAGUACGGCCGCAAGGUUAAAACUCAAAUGAAUUGACGGGGGCCCCGCACCACCGGCGGAGCAUGUGGUCUAAUCCAAGCC
rnacentral:rRNA from 1 species